rnacentral:rRNA from 1 species
CAAACUACGAAUACCGAAGAAUGUUAUCACGGGAGACACACGGCGGGUGCUAACGUCCGUCGUGAAGAGGGAAACAACCCAGACCGCCAGCUAAGGUCCCAAAGUCAUGGUUAAGUGGGAAACGAUGUGGGAAGGCACAGACAGCCAGGAUGUUGGCUUAGAAGCAGCCAUCAUUUAAAGAAAGCGUAAUAGCUCACUGGUCGAGUCGGCCUGCGCGGAAGAUGUAACGGGGCUAAACCAUGCACCGAAGCUGCGGCAGCGACACUAUGUGUUGUUGGGUAGGGGAGCGUUCUGUAAGCCUGCGAAGGUGUGCUGUGAGGCAUGCUGGAGGUAUCAGAAGUGCGAAUGCUGACAUAAGUAACGAUAAAGCGGGUGAAAAGCCCGCUCGCCGGAAGACCAAGGGUUCCUGUCCAACGUUAAUCGGGGCAGGGUGAGUCGACCCCUAAGGCGAGGCCGAAAGGCGUAGUCGAUGGGAAACAGGUUAAUAUUCCUGUACUUGGUGUUACUGCGAAGGGGGGACGGAGAAGGCUAUGUUAGCCG